rnacentral:rRNA from 1 species
GUGUCAGCCGCCGCGGUAAUACGGGGGGAGCAAGCGUUGUUCGGAUUUACUGGGCGUAAAGGGCGCGUAGGCGGCGCAACAAGUCACUUGUGAAAUCUCCGGGCUUAACCCGGAGCGGCCAAGUGAUACUGUCGUGCUAGAGUGCGGAAGGGGCUACUGGAAUUCUCGGUGUAGCGGUGAAAUGCGUAGAUAUCGAGAGGAACACCUGCGGCGAAGGCGGGUAGCUGGGCCGACACUGACGCUGAGGCGCGAAAGCCAGGGGAGCGAACGGGAUUAGAAACCCCUGUAGUCC